rnacentral:rRNA from 1 species
CAGUAGCCGCGGUAAUACGUAGGUGGCAAGCGUUAUCCGGAAUUAUUGGGCGUAAAGCGCGCGCAGGCGGUUUCUUAAGUCUGAUGUGAAAGCCCACGGCUCAACCGUGGAGGGUCAUUGGAAACUGGGGAACUUGAGUGCAGAAGAGAAAAGCGGAAUUCCACGUGUAGCGGUGAAAUGCGUAGAGAUGUGGAGGAACACCAGUGGCGAAGGCGGCUUUUUGGUCUGUAACUGACGCUGAGGCGCGAAAGCGUGGGGAGCAAACAGGAUUAGAUACCCCUGUAGUCCCUGUCUCUUAUAC